AGCCUCUCAGGAUCGCACCUGGAGAAUUUCCAGUACACGACCAGUCUCAGCUACAGGAGGGAGAGUCAAGCAGAGGCAUGCCCAUUCCAGUCCUAGCUUGGUCAGUGGCUAUCGAGUGGAAGGCAAUCUGCUACAAAU